rnacentral:rRNA from 1 species
UACGAACCGUCCAAACGUUAUUCGGAUUUAUUGGGCUUAAAGGGUAUGUAGGCGGCGCUGUCAGUCGGGUGUGAAAUCCCUCGGCUCAACCGAGGAACUGCGCCCGAUACUGCAGCGCUUGAGGGAGACAGAGGUAAGCGGAACUGAUGGUGGAGCGGUGAAAUGCGUUGAUAUCAUCAGGAACACCAGUGGCGAAAGCGGCUUACUGGGUCUCUUCUGACGCUGAGAUACGAAAGCUAGGGGAGCGAACGGGAUUAGAUACCCCGGUAGUCCUAGCUGUAAACGAUGAGCACUUGAUCGUGGGGCCUCCCAUAGCCUCUCGGUCGCAGCGAAAGCGGUAAGUGCUCCGCCUGGGGAGUAUGGUCGCAAGGCUG